GGGGCGCGGGGUGCGGAGCGGGGGCGGCUGUGCGUGCGAGAGUGGCAGGUAACACUGUGGUGACACUAUCUCUGUCAUGCAUCAAACUUAUAAAAUUGGCUGGGCAUGGUGGUGCAUGCCUGUAAUCCCAGCUACUUGGAAGGCUGAGGCUGGAGAAUCACUUGAAUCCAGGAGACGGAGGUUGCAGUGAGCAGAGAUUGCACCACUGCACUCCAGACUGGGCAACACGGCAAGACUCCGUCUCCAUAGAAACAAAAAAACAAAACUUACAUAUGUGUAUAAGCCUGUGUCAGGAUUCUGUACUUUUCCUUUUAUCUACAGUUUGCAUAUUUAUAUUUCUUCAGUAAUAUAUGCUGUUUCAAGUACUACAGCUUUAUAUUAAGCCUUAUUGUCUGGUAGAACAAAACUUUCCACAUCUAAAAAGUUUUCUUAACUAUUAUUUUUCUCAUUCAUUUGAAUUUUAGAGUAUGCUUAUCAAGCUCUAUGAAAAAUUACAUUGUAGUUGGCUGGGAUUUUG
rnacentral:lncRNA from 10 species